UGGCUAUUGUGAAUAAUGUUGCUAUGAACCUUGGUAUAUAAGUAUCCGUUUGACUCCCUGUUUUCAAUUUUUUAGGUAUAUACCUAGAAGUGGAAUUGCAGGGCAUAAGGAAAACUCCAUGUUUUCUUUAUUUUGUGAUUCAAGUUGAAGGAACAGCCUCUCUCUGGGACAUGCCAGUUGAAGGAAAAGAGAAACUUUUGUUCAAAAGAGGCACACAGCACCCUGCGCACAUUGCUUUCCCAAAGCAAGUCACCUGACGACUCCUGAGUUUAAUAGGAUGGGAAUGUAAUAUCCCAAAAGAAAGUAUGUUACCAGUCAUACGGCCUAGCAGAACAUCAGUGUGGUGGGAGGUGUAAUCUUCCUACAGGAAGGAAUAUCAGGAGCAAGAACUAAAGAAUUCCAAAGGAACCAUAAGAAGUUGGGAGAAGAUUCUUACCGCAUGGGUUCUGGAGGUCAGAAGUACCAAAUCAGCUUCACUGUGCUAAAGUCAAAGUUCAGCAGGGUUGGUGCCUUCUGGAAGCUCUGAGAAAUCAAUAAGCUGAUCUUAAAAUUCACAUGGAAAUGGAAAGGACUCAGAAUUGUCAAAACAAUCUUGGGAUAGGAGAACCUAAGAUGGUGACUAGGAGAGACAGGGCAAAAAAACACCUCCGUGAAAAAUACUAGAUAAAAGCCAGAAAGUGACUCAGAACACCAGU